UACGUAGGGUGCAAGCGUUGCCCGGAUUUAUUGGGCGUAAAGGGCGCGUAGGCGGCUACGCACGUCCGUUGUGAAAUCGCCCGGCUCAACUGGGCGGGGUCGGCGGAUACGGCGUGGCUGGAGCAAGCUAGGGGGCAGUGGAAUUCCCGGUGUAGUGGUGGAAUGCGUAGAUAUGACACAGAACACCGAUUGCGAAGGCAGCUCGCUAAACUGUGAUUGACGCUGAGGCACGAAAGCGUGGGGAUCAAACAGG
rnacentral:rRNA from 1 species